UACACCAUUGUCUCUCCUAGUCCUCAGGCAUUUGAGCUGGAGUGAACCAUGUCUUCAGCUCUCCUAGGUUUCCAGCUUGCAGAUAGCAGAUAUGGUGGGACUACUCAGCCUCCAUAAUUUACAAACAGAAUUUUCCUCUCACCAAGGACAGUCACAUCAUUUAAGAUGAUAAUGUUACCACACUGUGCACCCAAGUGAGGAAAAAAGAGAAGACGUGUGCACGAGAGCCCUGAGAUCUGGAACAGUAGCCCUGCCCCAGACAUGUCACGCUGGCAUGAACAAGCAAGACCUAAAAGGCAAAAAAAGUUCUCACCACAGCUGUUCCAACAGGAGACGUAUCUUCUCUGGAACUAUGAACCCAGUGAUUGUACACAAAUAAGCUUUUGCCACCACCGUGCUCGGCUGAGGACAACAAUAGGUUGAUACGAAAUUAUUCGGCUCAUUAUUUCUGUAGCACACACACACACACACAAAAGAGAAAGAAAGAAACACCUCUGUUAUCUCCCACCCGAUCAUUUUCAAAGUAUAAACCCCCACGAAGAACGCGGCGCUGGCCACGCCCCAGCCCGGGCCCCCCCGGACGCACAGUUGGGCGUUACUGAAGACGGCGCCCAGCCAGUCCAGGAGCUCAGGGGCGCUGCAAGCCGCCCCCGGGGCUCCCCCCAGCUCGCCGCUCCGCAGCACCGGGCACUGCAGCUCGCUCGCCGUGCUCAGGGCUACUCGCGGCUGCCGCUCCUGAAUUCCGUAACUGGAAAAGUACGACAUCAUCCUUGAUUCUUCUGCACCUUAGAACACACCAUAAAAGGCCAUGUCAAAGACCAAGAGCAGUGGUCCUUGGGAAGUCAAUCCUAAAUCUACCUAUGGAUGUGGCAGCCUCACCUAUUCACGUUCAAGCCGGACACUAUCAGUAGAACCAUCUCUUUUCACUCACAGAUGCCGGAUAAACCAAUAAUUAACCUCACUGAUGCCUCAACUUCCACAUCUGCGGAAAGGCGCCCCAUGCGGCUGACAUUUUUACGAAACAAAAGCCAAAGUUACCCCCCCCCCCCCGAAGCUCUUAAAUUGUGCUUGCAAACAGGGACACCACGACUCAUUUCACUCUAAACCUGACAACCUCCUAGCGCGCUCCAGCUGGAGACCACAGAAGGUAACAGGCAAAGUGGAAACUUUUCUCAGAGAUAAAACUAGUUCCUCUAAACAGUUUAGAAAAGCAUGUGCUUCCUGGGUCUGGACUCAGCAAGAUGCUCCCAUGAGGUGGGUGAAAGAAUCAAGAGGUGGGGAGGGGCGCGAGGCCCCAAUUUGUAGCCAGUCCGCGGCUCCACGUGGCAUACGUCACAGCCUCUCAACUCCAGAGGCCCGUGCCUGACUUUUGCCUCCGAACGGGGGCGGGGCCAAAGUAGCCAGCGACGCUUUGGAAUCGGCCCGGAGCAAAUCGCCCAGCCCCUCCUUGCGAGGACAGGACACUGCCCCUACUCCCGGCGCAUCCUGGGAGUUGUAGUCCUGCAGCUCUGCAAGCUACCAGCUCGGAGUAGUAUAGAGACUACAGCUCCCAAAGUGCCUAGCGCGGGGCCCCGCCCCUCUUGCGCUGAGGGCGGGCUCCUCACUGAACGCGACUUUCCCCACAUCUCUCCAGCUCCCGGAGACUGGGUGCUUCCUGAGUGGCCCACGACGGCCAGACUCACCCUGUAAUUAUGGUAGUGCGUCUCCACAAGAUGCCGGUGGCGCGACUUGUCAUGGCCGAAGUUGGAUUUCUCGCAGACCAGCAAGUGUCGGGGAACCUCUCGCAGCCUCCGCAGUGUGGCCAUGCUUUCUCCGGCACAAGCCCUGAGCGAGGUCGGGAAGCCCAGUCCCUCUGCUUCGCUCCGCCCCUCCGCCUGGCCCCGCGGGCAUGCGCAUUGCAGCUGCGCAGUGCCCGUUGAAGCUGCUCGGGCUUGGUGACCGGUUAGGGUUGAGGGCGGGCCUGGGUUUCUUCGGAACCUUAGGUUCCUGAACCUUGGGUACCUGAAACCGCAAAUUCAUUGCCUACAGGGGAAAUACCUGGUACCUGGAAACCUGGAACUUGCUUUUUCAAACCCACCUUUCUCGCCAAGACCUCCGUCCCUCCCUGCUGCUGUCUUGCCGUAUAUCCUCCCUCUGUUCCUUCACAAAUGGUUUAGGAGUUUUGUGCAGGAAGAUAAUACACAAUUUCUGUUUUCGGCCCUGCAAUACGACUCCGUCGGAACCACUUUAAGAUCCCUUUUUAAAAAUCCCACCUGAACGGCUUUAAAAAUUUUGUUACUAUUGUUACAAUGUGAGAAUUCGUUUUUCCAUAAUUUUUCUGAUCAAGUACUAUACGUUUCUCAAGCUGGAGUAUGCACAGCCCCAAUUCUGUGCUGAGAGGAUGCAAAACAGCAGACUAUCUGUGGUACAACUGUCUGGAGCAUCAAUUUUACUGUAAGAUUUGGAACAACCGAAGUUACGUAAUUUACAAGGUGGGAGCAGCAGGGAAGGUGGUGCUGGGAACUGUAACUAUUGAAGACACCAGUAAUAAAUCAGAGGACUCCAUCCUGCCAAGCCUAAACUUGACCUCACAGUCUUUAUCAGCACAGGGCUCCAGGCAGCUGCCACGAAUGGACAGGUUUUGGGGUACAAGAUCAAAACUACCCUAUGAUGGCAGGCAGCCUGGGAACUGGAUCCAGCAGGUACAGUGGAAAAAAUCAGCGGCCCCCAAGAAUAUAUGAUGCACUCCAAGUGAGGACUUGAAUCCCUGGAGUUUUGGGAAGGGCUCAGAGCCAGACUGCUUCAUGUCCUCUCCCUCUGACUGGUUGGGAAUCGAUGGAACAUGCAAACAUAUUAACACUGGCAGCUGUGUGGACUGUGUCAACACAUGGAAGUGCACAAAUGGAGUAUUUUAAAACAGAACACAAUGUUAUAUGUCAAUUGUAUCUCAAAUCUGGGGGAGAAAAGCAGAACCCAAAACAGUCA